AUGAACGCUGGCGGCGUGCCUAAUACAUGCAAGUCGAGCGAACAGACGAGGAGCUUGCUCCUCUGACGUUAGCGGCGGACGGGUGAGUAACACGUGGAUAACCUACCUAUAAGACUGGGAUAACUUCGGGAAACCGGAGCUAAUACCGGAUAAUAUAUUGAACCGCAUGGUUCAAUAGUGAAAGACGGUUUUGCUGUCACUUAUAGAUGGAUCCGCGCCGCAUUAGCUAGUUGGUAAGGUAACGGCUUACCAAGGCAACGAGGCGUAGCCGACCUGAGAGGGUGAUCGGCCACACUGGAACUGAGACACGGUCCAGACUCCUACGGGAGGCAGCAGUAGGGAAUCUUCCGCAAUGGGCGAAAGCUUGACGGAGCAACGCCGCGUGAGUGAUGAAGGUCUUCGGAUCGUAAAACUCUGUUAUUAGGGAAGAACAAAUGUGUAAGUAACUAUGCACGUCUUGACGGUACCUAAUCAGAAAGCCACGGCUAACUACGUG
rnacentral:rRNA from 1 species